UUGGAACUGAGACACGGUCCAAACUCCUACGGGAGGCAGCAGUGAGGAAUAUUGGUCAAUGGACGAGAGUCUGAACCAGCCAAGUAGCGUGAAGGAUGAAGGUUCUAUGGAUUGUAAACUUCUUUUAUACGGGAAUAAACGAAUCCACGCGUGGGUUUUUGCAUGUACCGUAUGAAUAAGGAUCGGCUAACUCCGUGCCAGCAGCCGCGGUAAUACGGAGGAUCCGAGCGUUAUCCGGAUUUAUUGGGUUUAAAGGGAGCGUAGAUGGGUUGUUAAGUCAGUUGUGAAAGUUUGCGGCUCAACCGUAAAAUUGCAAUUGAUACUGGCAGUCUUGA
rnacentral:rRNA from 1 species